rnacentral:rRNA from 1 species
AUACGGAGGGUGCAAGCGUUAAUCGGAAUUACUGGGCGUAAAGCGCGCGUAGGCGGUUAUUUACGUCAGAUGUGAAAUCCCUGGGCUCAACCUAGGAACUGCAUCUGAUACUGGGUAACUAGAGUUUUGGAGAGGUAAGUGGAAUUUCCGGUGUAGCGGUGAAAUGCAUAGAGAUCGGAAGGAACACCAGUGGCGAAGGCGACUUACUGGCCAAAAACUGACGCUGAGGUGCGAAAGCGUGGGUAGCAAACAGGAUUAGAAACCCUAGUAGUCC